ensembl:lncRNA novel transcript, antisense to FZD8
GCACACCGAGCGGCAGGGCGGCAGCGGCUUCUUGUAGUCCUCUAGGCAGAUGGGCGUGUACAUGCUGCACAGGAAGAACUUGAGAUCGGGCGAGCACUGGAUCUCCACCAGCGGCCAGAACUGGUGCACCUCCAGGCCCGCCUCGUCUUGCGUGUCGUGGUUGAACUGAUUGGGCAUGUAGGUGUAGUUGUAGCCGAUGCCCUUACACAGCGGCACGGUGAUCUCUUGGCAUGCCAGCUCCUUGGCCGAGGCGGCCGCAGCGCCGCUAGAGCGCUGCAGCAGCGCCAAGGCGGCCAGCAGCGAGGUCACUUCCAACAGAAAUUCACUAUCUCUGCGGUUGGCACCUUGUUUCCAGAGGGCGAGUCUCCAGAACGCAUCAGCUGCAGAUGAAAAGUUUGAUGAUGUGGAAUGUGGAAAUUUUGGGAAAGAGAUCCUGUUGGAAGGAAGUACUCUUUGCUGUGUCUGCUGUCACCAGGCCAAGGUGCACAUGGAUGGAGAUAACAGGCCCACCUGUGCCACUGGCUGGCAGGCCCAUGCUCACUUUACAUGCAGCUGCUGCUUUGGAAUACGGCGACCGCACUGCCAUUAUUUAAGUUGAUAAUUAUUCUAAAAUUUGUUUUAAAAAUCAAUAAUUGAUUUUUUUUCUCAUCCACAUGGGAAUAUUUGCCAGAUAUUGAAGCUCUUAUUAUGGCAUGCAUUGUGCAUUAGUUUGGUAGAUUUCAGGUCCAGUAAAGACCUCCCGGGUAAAAGUGGCUUAGCCAAGAAGGACAUCUCAACAUAUCAAUAAGUCUAGAAGCAGACAUUUCACCGUCAGUUCUUUCUGCAGCUCCAGGAGGUUAGGGCUGCAGGUUGGCUUCUAGACUGUUGGUUUCCCCUUUGGUUACAGGGGGCCUCCCACCACUGAAUUGUCACAUUGGACUGUGGCCAGGGCUGGAGGACUGCUAUGAUAUUUUUCUUCCCUUAGGAAUGACAGCCUUUCCCUGAAGGCCCUUGGCUAACUUCCCCUUUGGGCAACCUGGUCUGAAUCUGUCACUUGGCCACUCUUAGCUGCAAGAGAGGCUGUGAAAGUGAGGAUCUGGAGAGUGGCUGUUGAUGGGGACACUGGUAGCCAGGAAGGGGAGGAGGGACAACCCACAGUGUCAGAUGCACAUUACUGUGUGAAAGCAGUGAACUUCCAAGCAAUACCAUUGAGUCAACUUCCCUGGUCUUACAGCGGAAUUUAUGCAGGGUUAUAAAUUAAGCAUGAUCUAGAUCCAAGAAAACCUUGAGAUCUACAUUUUUUUUUUGAAGUUCACACAAUACAGUUCUUUGUACAUUUAGUAUGAAAUAAACGUCAAGCAGUUUACAGCG